rnacentral:lncRNA from 1 species
GUUAUCUUAAUUUGUUUUCCAAACCCUGGAAGGCAACUGUGCUACACAGAACCCCAGUGCCAAGAUCCCACUGUUCACAUUACUCUCAUCCUUUCGGGAGUAAUACUUCUCAUUACAAAUCAAUAAAUGCACAUUUUGAAACACAUUCAUGUCAUGCAAAGUAAAACUGGCCAGCAUCUCCACUGGCGCAGUGGCUCCCAGAUCAGAUGAACUCCACUGAACCAAACUUUGCAACAUCAGACUCAUCAGUCAAAGCAAACCUUCUUAUUACAGAAAAUUGUAAUCUCUCACGUUAUUGUAAAAUAAGACAACAAUUUGCAAUACUCAACAUAACUCGGUAGAGAUGUUUAGUUCAAUAUGAUUUUAUUUAAAAAUGUGUACAGCUGAAGGAGGGAUCUGAUCUUUUGUUAAAUGAAACCAAUUUUCACGGUAUAUAUUUGGCCAUUUUAGCUUUGUAGUGAAUAAUAACAGAAAAGGAAGUUUCUGUUCAAGAUCCUCACUCCAGCACACUCAGCCAGGUACCUGGCAAGAUGACACAUUUCCUGGUCUGAAGCUCACAGCCAAUCCUCUCACUCAAGUGAAACACCAAUUCUCCAGGCAUACACACACAUACGCACAUCUUAUUUUCACUGCUCUACACAGGGCCCUGAGAAUCCUUAAUUUUAAAGUUGGGAAAAACGUGAAAGGAUUCCUUAACUCAUUGUCUGCGACAAAUCCAACUACCUUUUAACUCUUAAGAAUUGCAAGUAUAAAAUACUUGAAAUUUACAAGAUGCUCCAUUUAAUGGAACAACUCAAAUGCUAAAAAAUUAGGUCAAAUAACAUGCUUUAAUAUUUUUAAAUGUUACUUAAAACUUAUUGAGACAAGAUACGCAGCACAUUCUUGGUAUUAUAAACUCCUACUGACGACUGCUACUUAAUGGCCAAAAACAUUCAAAGAAAGAGAAGAAACUAUACUGGUAUACAACAGUAUCUGCAGGGAAUGUCAUGUUUUACAUUUUGUUAACUGAAAUUAAACCUGACAAAAAACCCAAUGCAGUGGCAUUCAGGACUCACUGCAGCUUCAACCUCCUGGGCUCAAGCGAUCCUCCGCCUCGCCCCCACCACCCCCAAAGGUGGCUGCGACUAUAGGCAUGUGUCACCACUCCCGGUUAAUUUUUGUAUUUUUUUGUAGAGACGGGGUCUCGCCAUGUUGCCCAGGCUGGUCUUGAACUCCUGGACUCAAGGGAUCAGCCCGCCUCAGCCUCCCAAAGUGCUGUGAUUACAGGCAUGAGCCACAGUGCCCAGCCUAAUUACAGGCUUUCUAUUCUACUUCAAGCCUCUGUUUAGGGCGUAGAGAGAAAAGUCUCCAAGGUUUAAUUUUCCAAUGCGGUUUCCAAUUUCAACCAAAAAAAACUAUUGCAAAUAAAGAAAUACAGGAGACCAGGCCAAAUCUGCUGAUCCUACCACAAACACUAAAAAUGUGUUUCUGGAAUAAAUCCCUAAAGGUGUCAUCUACCUUAAAGACAAGGUAAAGCACUGUCUGGCUAGGGUUUCUACAAGUUCACACUUCAGAAAAAAUAUGUUUGCAAUAUUGAAACUUACAGAAUAAUAUCUAUAACAUUUCAAGUAUAAACACCUUAAAAGAGAGCAUUUUCUUAAAUCUAACUUCCAUUUAAUGCCACCAUAACCUAAUGAGCUAGCCACUGCCAGCAACUCUGGUAGGUCUGGCUGCUUAAAAAGGUAUGAAUUGGCCGGGCGCGGUGGCUCACACCUGUAAUCCUAGCACUUUGGGAGGCCGAGGCGUGCAGAUCACGAGGUCAGGAGAUUGAGAGCAUUGUGGCCAACACGGGGAAACCCUGUCUCUACUUAAAAAAAUACAAAAAAUUAGCCAGGC